rnacentral:rRNA from 1 species
GUCCACGCCGUAAACGAUGGAUACUAGCUGUUGGGCGCAAGUUCAGUGGCUAAGCGAAAGUGAUAAGUAUCCCACCUGGGGAGUACGUUCGCAAGAAUGAAACUCAAAGGAAUUGACGGGGCCCGGCACAAGCGGUGGAGCAUGUGGUUUAAUUUCGAUGAUACGCGAGGAACCUUACCAAGGCUUAAAUAGUAGAUUGUACAGGACUGGAAACAAGUUUUUCUUUCGGACAAUUUACAAGGUGCUGCAUGGUUGUCGU